rnacentral:lncRNA from 1 species
UUCUUAUUGAAACUUUGCAGGAUGUUUAUUUAGUCAAUUAUCUAUUAGUUUAUCACAAAAAAUUGGAAGGAAAUGCAUUGCAUGAUGGAUUUAACAUUAUCAAGUUGAUUAUAUAGCGAGCUGACAAACAUUGUGAGUGUAGAAAAUAUGUAGAAAUUAAUUAAAGAAGUCUAAACACAUCAUAAUCAUUUAUAUAUAAUGAAUUAGUACAAUAUUUUACACUUUAUACAUUGUAUGGUAAGAUACAUGAGUGACUUAGUACCACAUAGAGUUCCUAUGAGAUUCAAAAUUUUCACUAUCUUCAUCAUCUCUAUGUGUAGAGUGAGUGUAUUUUGAAGAGUAGUUAGCAACCAUGACAAUGGUUUUCAAGAACCAAAACCCAAAAGUCAAUAGGAAACCGAAUACUUCGGUAUUUUUCGGGAUUACCAAACAAAUGGGAUUUGGAAACCAAUCCCAUAUUGAAAAUUUUGGUAUUUUUCGAGAUGGGAUUCCCGAACUUCAGGAUGGUUUUGGUUUGGGAUUUUUCGGUUUGGGUUUGAGACUUUUUCGGUUUGGUUUGGGAUUUUCCGGAAUUUUUUCCAGCCCUACCAUGUAAGUGACCAAAUAAAAAAUAGAAAAAUUAAAACCACAUGCCAUUGACUAAGUAAUUAAUUGACACAAUUUAAAAUAUAAUACCACAAAAAAUUUGGAAAAUGUGCAAAUUUGUUUCUUGUAAAAAGAAUUCAAAACAAAAGAAUAUAUAUAAAUAUUGUAGCAUAUUAUCACAACAACAUAAGUGGUAUAGUGGUUAAGGCAUUAAGGAGUUAAGUGGGAGGGGUUCGAACCCCUCUAUGCUCAAAAUUGAGACUUUUCAAAAUUUUCAGGAAUUUUUGGACUAAUAUCGCGAUAUUAUAGCUAAUAUCGCGAUAUUUUAACGAAAACUCAUUGGAUACUCAUUAAAAUAUCGGUAACUAAAAAAAACGAAAAUAUCGCCGAUAUAUCGGCGAUAUUUUGGAUAUUUUCUUCCAUGGAUAUCACUAAUCAGCAAGUACUAGACAUGCAUUCAAAUGUUUUAAUAAAAAACUUGUAUUGCCAUUUAUACUCCAAACCGGUGUUACGUACAAAUUUAGCUAGUAGACCACAUAUAAAAACUUAAAAUAAUGAUGAUAUACUUUUUUAUUAACCAUUGAAUAUCAUACAAUAGUUUAGUAAUAGGAUUUUUAGUACUUGCGCAAAAAAUGGUUAAAAUCACACAAAAUACUUGUAACAAUACAAGGUAGUUGUAGUAAGAGUGCUCAUGCAACUAAAAGAAAACCGUUUUGAAAAUCAUUUUAAAAUGCACUAGGGUUCCGCCAUCACCUUAACAAUCUUAUGUAGUUUUACUAAUUAUAUGAAUUACACAUGCAACUUUGAAGGUUAGGUUUUUCUAAUGCAUAUUCUACUUGUGGCAUUCAAGGUAGGAUGUAUAUCAAACAUGUAAUCCAUCUGUGAUAUUCAAAUCAAAUGUAAACAUGCAUGAGUCAUUACACUUUUCGGGUGGCAUUCCAAGAAAUUGCAUCCAAUUACUUAUAUAAACAUUUUAAUGUGAUCAAGCAUCAAUGCAUAAAGACAAUUUAAACACAAUGAUUAAUAAUUCAAAGAACCCAUGCAUAAUGUCAUAAACAAUUAAAUAAAGCCUACAUAUUCAUGCUAAAGCUCAUGGCCACCCUAGUAAAAGAAAGUUAAUUACACAUAAUCAUAAUUAAUAUCAAAUGAAAUAUUAUUAAGAAAAAUGAUAGAAAACACAUUGAAAGAAGAAUAGUAGCUGAAUAAGCCUUAUUUAUACUACUACAAACCUUUCCCCAGAAAAAAGCCUUCUUAAAACUAGAAAACAAAAUAAAUUAAAGUAAACUAGGAAACAAUCUUCUAUAUUAAUUAAUGUGGAGAACUUGCUUAGCCACAAAUCGGCCACGUUUAGAACCCAAAACACCUCCAAAUUGAGCCCAAAAGACCUUGCUUUAAAGCUUGAGAUGUUCUGAAUAUCUUUGUAGAAAGCCUUGAACCCAAAAUGUGACAACCCGUCCUUAGUUCUACGAUUUUAUAAAUUUUAAAAGAAUGAAUUUACGAAAAUGCCCUAGAGUUGAAGGUUUUGCCUUUCAUUGACCAACGUGCAGAGAAACGUAUGACUUAUUCACUAAGCACAUUUGUGUAGUACUCAUUGGUACAAACGCAUAGGCGAAAGCCCAUUGCGAGU